rnacentral:rRNA from 1 species
UACGAAGGGGGCUAGCGUUGCUCGGAAUCACUGGGCGUAAAGGGUGCGUAGGCGGGGCUUUAAGUCAGGGGUGAAAUCCUGGAGCUCAACUCCAGAACUGCCUUUGAUACUGAGGAUCUUGAGUUCGGGAGAGGUGAGUGGAACUGCGAGUGUAGAGGUGAAAUUCGUAGAUAUUCGCAAGAACACCAGUGGCGAAGGCGGCUCACUGGCCCGAUACUGACGCUGAGGCACGAAAGCGUGGGGAUCAAACAGG